rnacentral:rRNA from 1 species
GACGAACGCUGGCGGCGUGCUUAACACAUGCAAGUCGCACGGUAAGGCCCUUUCGGGGGUACACGAGUGGCGCACGGGUGAGUAACACGUGAGUAACCUGCCCACAACUUUGGGAUAACGCUAGGAAACUGGUGCUAAUACUGGAUAUGUGCUCCUGCUGCAUGGUGGGGGUUGGAAAGCUCCGGCGGUUGUGGAUGGACUCGCGGCCUAUCAGCUUGUUGGUGGGGUAGUGGCCUACCAAGGCGGCGACGGGUAGCCGGCCUGAGAGGGUGACCGGCCACAUUGGGACUGAGAUACGGCCCAGACUCCUACGGGAGGCAGCAGUGGGGAAUAUUGCACAAUGGGCGCAAGCCUGAUGCAGCAACGCCGCGUGCGGGAUGACGGCCUUCGGGUUGUAAACCGCUUUCAGCAGGGACGAAGCUUUUUGUGACGGUACCUGCAGAAGAAGCACCGGCUAACUACGUG